rnacentral:rRNA from 1 species
CCCUUAGAUGUUCUGGGCCGCACGCGCGCUACACUGUUCGACGCAGCGAGUCUUAACCUUGACCGAAAGGUUUGGGUAAUCUUCAGCAAAGUCGAACGUGAUGGGGAUCGAUCAUUGCAAUUAUUGAUCGUGAACGAGGAAUUCCUAGUAAGUGCAAGUCAUCAGCUUGCGCUGAUUACGUCCCUGCCCUUUGUACACACCGCCCGUCGCUACUACCGAUUGAAUGGUUUAGUGGGAUCUCUGGAUUGACGCUGGCUAGGGGGCGACCCUUGGCCAGACUGCUCGAGAAACUGCUCAAACUUGAUCAUUUAGAGGAAGUAAAAGUCGUAACA